CAAAAAGUUGAGAGGAAAAGAAAAACAAGGCCAAGGGUUCGGCCAAGUGAGAGAAAAAGAAAGGAAAAAGAAAAAAAAAUUCUUGGAGCUCAAUCCUUUGGUUCAAAAAUCCAUCUCUUUUGGAAUUACUACUAAGUGCAAGAUUCUCUUCAAGAUGAUAUAAUUAUUUUGGAAAAAAGGUGACUUUGGUGGCAAGUGAAGAACUUGAAGAAAAGAUUCUGGUGGAAACGGGACUUGAGUUUGGACGAACGUAAAGCGCAAAUAAGGUACAGGGCCGCGACCCGGCGAUCCGGCUACUUAGGGGAAGUCAGCGCUAGGAGUCAGACAGCUCCACUUUCUCCGGAGGCUGUUCCUGUGUUGGUAUAAUUUUGUGUACAUAUUUUGUAGGUCGUACUCUUUAGAAGUCUGCGAACAGUGUGGGUGUUAUGGGUAUUGUUUGGUUUUGUUGGUCACUACGUUGUUGUACAAAAGUGGUGGCAGCCAGUUCAGCUGGCUUUGUCUUAUGUCAUGUGUAUAUAUAUGCUUAUGUGUGCGUGUGUGUAUGUAUGUAACACGCUU